AGAGUUUGAUCCUGGCUCAGGAUGAACGCUGGCGGCGUGCUUAACACAUGCAAGUCGAACGAAGCACUCUAUUUGAUUUUCUUCGGAAAUGAAGAUUUUGUGACUGAGUGGCGGACGGGUGAGUAACGCGUGGGUAACCUGCCUCAUACAGGGGGAUAACAGUUGGAAACGACUGCUAAUACCGCAUAAGCGCACAGGAUUGCAUGAUCCGGUGUGAAAAACUCCGGUGGUAUGAGAUGGACCCGCGUCUGAUUAGCCAGUUGGCAGGGUAACGGCCUACCAAAGCGACGAUCAGUAGCCGACCUGAGAGGGUGACCGGCCACAUUGGGACUGAGACACGGCCCAAACUCCUACGGGAGGCAGCAGUGGGGAAUAUUGCACAAUGGGGGAAACCCUGAUGCAGCGACGCCGCGUGAGCGAAGAAGUAUUUCGGUAUGUAAAGCUCUAUCAGCAGGGAAGAAGAAUGACGGUACCUGACUAAGAAGCACCGGCUAAAUACGUGCCAGCAGCCGCGGUAAUACGUAUGGUGCAAGCGUUAUCCGGAUUUACUGGGUGUAAAGGGAGCGCAGGCGGUGCGGCAAGUCUGAUGUGAAAGCCCGGGGCUCAACCCCGGUACUGCAUUGGAAACUGUCGUACUAGAGUGUCGGAGGGGUAAGUGGAAUUCCUAGUGUAGCGGUGAAAUGCGUAGAUAUUAGGAGGAACACCAGUGGCGAAGGCGGCUUACUGGACGAUAACUGACGCUGAGGCUCGAAAGCGUGGGGAGCAAACAGGAUUAGAUACCCUGGUAGUCCACGCCGUAAACG
rnacentral:rRNA from 1 species